AUGCCAAUCUGCAACUGGGUAGUCUAAAGCUGUCAUUAAGGCAUAACAUUAGAAAUAUUUCCUGAGAAAUAUGAGUUGGAAUGAAGGUCUCCUUUCUUGUCAUGGCAACAGGAGAACUCAUCUUAGGAAUACUGGGAAAUGGGUUCAUUGGACUGGUAAACUGCAUCGAAUGGGUCAAGAAUGGGAAGGUCUCAUCAGCUGAUUUCAUCCUUACCAGCUUGGACACAGUGAGAAACGUUGGUUAUAUUACCAAGGGUUUGACUGGAAGGUCAUGUUUGAGAAAGAAAUGCAUAAACUCAGAUAUGACUAAAUAAACUUAAGGAAUUAAGGUUGACUCUAUGAAGUUGACAAAGCUUCUUGGAAAAACAGCCUGGUCCCUCACUCUCAGGAUUCCUUACAGCCUAACCAGCACUGCAAACUGAAGCUGAACAACUUGAUAUAAAAUUAAGAGAGAUUGCCACAACAGCCAACGUUUAGAAAAUCUUGGUGCCUGUUGCUGAGUAAGCCAUUCAGAAAGUUUACCGAUCAUUUGACGACAUCAUAGAGGCAUUUCAAACUACAAAAGAUGCUUUGACAAUGACAUCUAGAAAUCUUCUUGAUUGGCUACCCCCUAGAAUCAGAAACUGGUUUAUAAUUUGCUGCAACCAUUAACCAUUCUUUUUCUUGAUUUCCAUAGAAAUGACUCAUUAAAUACCUGAUUGCUUGCAACAUACAUUUAACUUUGGGAACCUACUUGCAUCACUGCCUCCUGAAAUGAGACACAACUGUUUAAUUGAACUGACCUAUUUUCAAGGCUAAAGGAUUAA
rnacentral:lncRNA from 1 species